rnacentral:lncRNA from 1 species
UGUCGAUUUAUCUCCUUCGGCCAAUAUUCGAUAAAUGACAGUUUCUGAUUGGUCAAAAUAUGGCUCCUAUGGAUCCGAUGAUUCAACGGCCCAGUUUUGAAGAUGGUUCGCCUCAGAAUGCUGAUCUUCGACACAUGUUAAUAGAAGGCAACUCGACGAGAUCAGUCUCAACCUCGAACUGGUACUCUCUUCAGCCGCCCUAUCGAAAGUUCGAUCUCAAGAGUGGGGGGCAUCUAUUGUGGAUCUAUACCU